UACGUAGGGUCCGAGCGUUGUCCGGAAUUAUUGGGCGUAAAGGGCUCGUAGGCGGUUUGUCGCGUCGGGAGUGAAAACUCAGGGCUCAACCCUGAGCGUGCUUCCGAUACGGGCAGACUAGAGGUAUGCAGGGGAGAACGGAAUUCCUGGUGUAGCGGUGAAAUGCGCAGAUAUCAGGAGGAACACCGGUGGCGAAGGCGGGUCUCUGGGCAGUAACUGACGCUGAGGAGCGAAAGCGUGGGGGAGCGAACAGG
rnacentral:rRNA from 1 species